UGAGGAACAUGACCUUCGGCGGGGGAUAGCCGGCCCAACGGCCGGGUAAUACCGCGUACGACCACAUGGGGACAUCCCUGAGUGGUGAAAGCAGCAAUGCGCCGAUGGAGUGCCUCGCGGCCUAUCAGCUAGUUGGUGAGGUAACGGCUCACAAGGCGACGACGGGUAGCUGGUCUGAGAGGAUGGCCAGCCACAGUUGGGACUGAGACACGGCCCAGACCUCGUACGGGGAG
rnacentral:rRNA from 1 species